AGUGAACGCUGGCGGUAGGCCUAACACAUGCAAGUCGAACGGCAGCACAGGAGAGCUUGCUCUCUGGGUGGCGAGUGGCGGACGGGUGAGGAAUACAUCGGAAUCUACUCUGUCGUGGGGGAUAACGUAGGGAAACUUACGCUAAUACCGCAUACGACCUACGGGUGAAAGCAGGGGAUCUUCGGACCUUGCGCGAUUGAAUGAGCCGAUGUCGGAUUAGCUAGUUGGCGGGGUAAAGGCCCACCAAGGCGACGAUCCGUAGCGGGUCUGAGAGGAUGAUCAGCCAAACUGGAACUGAGACACGGUCCAGACUCCUACGUGAGGCACGAGUGGGGAAGAUUGGACAAUGGGCGCAAGCCUGAUCCAGCCAUACCGCGUGGGUGAAGAAGGCCUUCGGGUUGUAAAGCCCUUUUGUUGGGAAAGAAAUCCAGCGGGCUAAUACCCGGUUGGGAUGACGGUACCCAAAGAAUAAGCACCGGCUAACUUCGUGCCAGCCGCCGCCGUAA
rnacentral:rRNA from 1 species